UCCUCUGAGCUAAUCUCCACGAUCGAGAAUCAAGCCAAAUGGAAAGACAGGAAUAGUGCGAUUGUUACACCACAAACUUUCGCCUUUCCGAUUUGAGGCUUUCAAUGGGAGCAAAGUUCUUGGUGAUCUGACCAUCGCAAAGGAGCAUGUGUACCACAAUGAUGGUCCUUACCAGCAUCGGGCUCAUCUUGCGGCAUAGAUUCUCCAGUAAAAUCAAUCCGCAGAAGGAGGAGGAGGUGCCAUACAAGAAGAGCAACCAAGCAGCAAGCAGUGAAAAAUGACAGUGAGCAUUACGGGGAGGAUGAAAAGUGUGAGCAUCAGUGUCUCUGCAAUCAGGAUUAUGAGAUCAUGUACAGUAGCAACAGCCCCUGAAAUAUUUUGUUGUUUCUGGCACUGAACUGGAUCGUACUGGUCUGCACAUGACAGCUCAUGCCAAGAUUCCAACCAGGAGUAAAGAACAACGACACUGGGGAGAAAAACACAAGAGACCAUUUUGACCAUUUUGAUCUGUCCUGCAGAUGCUCGCCCGAUUCUUACAACAGAAACUGAGGCAAAGUGAACUUGGGAUAAAUUCCAGUUUGGAGAUAACACGUUCUAUGUUUGUGUGCCAGAUUAUGCCGGCUAGAUUUAUAAAAUGACCUUUAAUUGUUGUUUGAUUUAGCAUCGCAUCACAGAUUAAAAGUGUUUAUGGCAAGACUUGUGAAACAAGAACCGUGCCUCCUCGUAAAAAAUGACAUUAUCUUCGAUUUAUGGGUGUGUUUUCUUUAGGCACAUGGGAUGGUCUGUUUUUUAAGUACGUGCGAAGACAGCAUAGCUUUGAUGCUCCAAUUUAAUUGCACAGAACAUCUCUGAAGCGAGCUGAAUUCAUGGGCAGAUGUGUCACGACAAGGAAAUCCUAAAAAUUGAUAUGGUCUGUUGACUCGAUAGAGAAGAAAUCAUGUAGGUAAAACUGGCAUUUAAAAUGUCAGCUUUGAGAUAUACAGUAUGUAGUAGAUGAUCCCGGAACCUCGAUGAUUUGUGUCAAUACAUGCCGUGUGUUAUCUGUACCAUCAAUUGUGAACUCUAAAAAUACAAUUGUCAGCAUUC